GGGUGAGUAACACGUGGGUGAUCUGCCCUGCACUCUGGGAUAAGCUUGGGAAACUGGGUCUAAUACCGGAUAUGACCACAGCAUGCAUGUGUUGUGGUGGAAAGAUUUAUCGGUGCAGGAUGGGCCCGCGGCCUAUCAGCUUGUUGGUGGGGUAAUGGCCUACCAAGGCGACGACGGGUAGCCGACCUGAGAGGGUGACCGGCCACACUGGGACUGAGACACGGCCCAGACUCCUACGGGAGGCAGCAGUGGGGAAUAUUGCACAAUGGGCGGAAGCCUGAUGCAGCGACGCCGCGUGAGGGAUGAAGGCCUUCGGGUUGUAAACCUCUUUCAGCAGGGACGAAGCGUGAGUGACGGUACCUGCAGAAGAAGCACCGGCUAACUACGUGCCAGCAGCCGCGGUAAUACGUAGGGUGCGAGCGUUGUCCGGAAUUACUGGGCGUAAAGAGUUCGUAGGCGGUUUGUCGCGUCGUUUGUGAAAACCCGGGGCUCAACUUCGGGCUUGCAGGCGAUACGGGCAGACUUGAGUGUUUCAGGGGAGACUGGAAUUCCUGGUGUAGCGGUGAAAUGCGCAGAUAUCAGGAGGAACACCGGUGGCGAAGGCGGGUCUCUGGGAAACAACUGACGCUGAGGAACGAAAGCGUGGGUAGCAAACAGGAUUAGAUACCCUGGUAGUCCACGCCGUAAACGGUGGGCGCUAGGUGUGGGUUCCUUCCACGGGAUCUGUGCCGUAGCUAACGCAUUAAGCGCCCCGCCUGGGGAGUACGGCCGCNAGGCUAAACUCAAAGGAAUUGACGGGGGCCCGCACAAGCGGCGGAGCAUGUGGAUUAAUUCGAUGCAACGCGA
rnacentral:rRNA from 1 species